UGGGGAAUAUUGCACAAUGGGCGAAAGCCUGAUGCAGCGACGCCGCGUGAGGGAUGACGGCCUUCGGGUUGUAAACCUCUUUCAGUAGGGACGAAGCGCAAGUGACGGUACCUGCAGAAGAAGCACCGGCUAACUACGUGCCAGCAGCCGCGGUAAUACGUAGGGUGCGAGCGUUGUCCGGAAUUACUGGGCGUAAAGAGCUCGUAGGCGGUUUGUCACGUCGUCUGUGAAAUCCUAGCGCUUAACGCUGGACGUGCAGGCGAUACGGGCUGACUUGAGUACUACAGGGGAGACUGGAAUUUCUGGUGUAGCGGUGGAAUGCACAGAUAUCAGGAAGAACACCGAUGGCGAAGGCAGGUCUCUGGGUAGUAACUGACGCUGAGGAGCGAAAGCAUGGGUAGCGAAGAGG
rnacentral:rRNA from 1 species